GCAAGGCAAACGAAAUAGACUGCCCUUUGUUGAAUGAACUAGUUUUCAAGUGCCAUGUAAGCUUCAAAGUGUUCAGACUCGGCUCUCAUAAUCAUUUUGACUCCAGGGACUCAUCUCAGAACAGCUGCAUGUAGCUCAGUUCAUGCCUGUUUUGAAACAAUAUGACAACAGAAGUGAAUGACUGGACACACUUCAUCUUACAGAAAUUGCCACUUCAAGAACCACACAUUUACUUUGUGAGGUGACAUUCCAGUGCCUUGAAACAUACCACAAAGUUUUCAACUCAUACAGAGUGGGACAGAAUGGAGGGUGCUCACGACAAAAGAAGGUCACUGGCCGCAAAUUACGAGUAUAAAGUGGAGCAGCGUGCCGUGAAGCACAGAGAAAUCAGCCAUCGGAAUAACACAACAUCAUGUCGUAGUCCCACGAGAGAUCUGGACACAAGGUUUAUUAAAACUGAAAUGCAUCGGAAAAGACAGUUUGAGUUCUUCAAAAGAAGACCAGUGGACCAUGGCACAUACGCACUGUUAUCUGCAGUGCCAAGGCACAGAUACUCAAGGGAAACCCUGCAUGCACCAGAGUAUAUGACGCAAACCUUAACGUCAAUCAGACGGCCCUUGAUAAGUCGAAAUGUAAAGCUCCAGAGAGAUGGCAUUAACUUUACAAAGCAGACAGUCUCCACUCUUCCAAUGAAUGAUGAGCAUGACCUGAAAUCAGAUGAAUGGGAUGAACCAAUACUCAAUUCUGUUCGGCUUCAUGGGAAAAUUAACAAGGAGCGAGUUCUGCUGAAAGACAUCACUCAGCACUCAAACACCCAGAAGACAUUGCAAACAGCCAGCAUUCAGACUGAGUGAGUCACAUUACAUUUACUGUAUAUUUUAAAAGUAAACAAUCAU
ensembl:lncRNA